rnacentral:rRNA from 1 species
UACGUAGGGUGCGAGCGUUAAUCGGAAUUACUGGGCGUAAAGCGUGCGCAGGCGGUUUUGUAAGCCAGAUGUGAAAGCCCCGGGCUCAACCUGGGAACUGGCAUUUGGGACUGCAAGGCUGGAGUUUGGCAGAGGAGACUGGAAUUCCUGGUGUAGGCAGUGGAAAUGCGUAGAUAUCAGGAGGAAUACCGAUGGCGGAAGGCAGGUCUCGUGGGCUGAUA